CCAUGGAGCUUAAACCCAAUAUACACCUCUACGCAUGUAAACCUCUCUAGCCUAAGAAAUUUGUAUGUUGGUUUUGGGUUGGGGGGACCGCGGAGAAAAAAUUAACCUCCACGACAAAUAGGCCAACGCCUUAAUCCAUGAACUACAAUUCUAAGAAUCAAUAAACUGAUGUUUAAUGACCCAAUUAUUUGAUCAACGAACCAAGUUA
rnacentral:rRNA from 1 species